rnacentral:rRNA from 1 species
AGUGAACGCUGGCGGUAGGCCUAACACAUGCAAGUCGAACGGCAGCACAGUAAGAGCUUGCUCUUACGGGUGGCGAGUGGCGGACGGGUGAGGAAUACAUCGGAAUCUACUUUUUCGUGGGGGAUAACGUAGGGAAACUUACGCUAAUACCGCAUACGACCUACGGGUGAAAGCAGGGGAUCUUCGGACCUUGCGCGAUUGAAUGAGCCGAUGUCGGAUUAGCUAGUUGGCGGGGUAAAGGCCCACCAAGGCGACGAUCCGUAGCUGGUCUGAGAGGAUGAGCAGCCACACUGGAACUGAGACACGGUCCAGACUACUACGGGAGGCAGCAGUGGGGAAUAUUGGACAAAGGGCGCAAGCCUGAUCCAGCCAUGCCGCGUGGGUGAAGAAGGCCUUCGGGUUGUAAAGCCCUUUUGUUUGGAAAGAAAAGCAGCAGGUUAAUACCCCGCUGUUCUGACGGUACCCAAAGAAUAAGCACCGGCUAACUUCGUG